CAAAACUUUCAACAACGGAUCUCUUGGUUCUGGCAUCGAUGAAGAACGCAGCGAAAUGCGAUAAGUAAUGUGAAUUGCAGAAUUCAGUGAAUCAUCGAAUCUUUGAACGCACAUUGCGCCCGCCAGUAUUCUGGCGGGCAUGCCUGUUCGAGCGUCAUUA
rnacentral:rRNA from 1 species